rnacentral:rRNA from 1 species
GUAGGGUGGCAAGCGUUGUCCGGAAUUAUUGGGCGUAAAAGCGCGCGCAGGCGGUCCUUUAAGUCUGAUGUGAAAGCCCACGGCUCAACCGUGGAGGGUCAUUGGAAACUGGGGGACUUGAGUACAGAAGAGGAAAGCGGAAUUCCAAGUGUAGCGGUGAAAUGCGUAGAGAUUUGGAGGAACACCAGUGGCGAAGGCGGCUUUCUGGUCUGUAACUGACGCUGAGGCGCGAAAGCGUGGGGAGCAAACAGGAUUAGAUACCCUGGUAGUCCACGCCGUAAACGAUGAGUGCUAAGUGUUAGGGGGUUUCCGGCCCCUUAGUGCUGCAGCUAACGCAUUAAGCACUCCGCCUGGGGAGUACGGCCGCAAGGCUG